rnacentral:tRNA from 1 species
GGGGAUAUAGCUCAGUUGGUAGAGUGCUUGCCUUGCAUGCACAAGGCCCUGGGUUCGAUCCCUAGCACCCA